AAUGGAGAAACCCUAGCCGUCACCCGCCCCCGCGCGAGAGCGACCUAACCGGCGUCCCCCCGUGAGCCCCUUGCCGCCGCCACCCCUCCCCUCUGCCCCAUGCCGGAUCUGCCUGCCGCCGCCGCCACCGCUCUCCUCUGCCCCGUGCCGUAUCCUACCUCCUCCUCCCGCUACCCUCAUCCCCUCUUGCCGCCAUCGGGUCCUCUCCUCUCCCCAUCGGUGCGAGUGCGUGGGUCGCGGCGUGCGGAGAGCGAGGAGAGGGAGAGGGCAGACGCGUGAGGAGGAGGAGGCCACGGCCAUCGGCUCCUCUCCUCUCCUCGUCGUCUCCUCCCCUCUCCCCGUCGGCGCCAGCGCGCUGGUCGUGUGGCGUGAUGUGAGCGAGGAGAGGGAGGGGGAAGAUGCGUGAGGAGGAGGAGGACCAGGCGAUGGCGUGCUGCUGGAGUGGAGGAGUGGUCGUCCGCUGCACGUCGUCGUUGUCCCCAUACCCAAUCUGGCAGCGGCAGCUGCAGGCCAGUGCGUGCGUCAGCUAAAGGAGCAUGAGUGAAGAAGUCCUCCUCCAGAAUCUUGCCGAGAUGCUCCUCUCUCUUUGCGUCUUCUUUUUCCUCUGUACUUUGUUUUUACAGUAUUUGCCCUAUCCUGUUUGAUGAUUUGUUCAUGAGCUAAUUUGUUCUUAUUGUGGUUCCACUUCUAUUUCUAUCUCGCAGGAUUUUGUUCCAAUGACACGUUGCUGACUAUUUGAGUUUUUGGAAUUUAAUGAAAUUCUGCUCAAUCAGUGUCCGCCAUCAUGUAAUUUUAGGACCAAAUUCAGAGAAAACAGUCUCAUUUCUAAGAAGAGCAUCUUGAGAGCCUCCUUCAUGUUCUGGAUAAAGCAGCUGACGAAAUAGUUUUAUGUACAGAGUUCUUAGAAAUGAAGCAGCUGCAGAAAAGGGACAUCCCGAGGAGAGGUACACCAACGCCUUUUUUGGGUACGGACCAGAGGACUCACAUUUUGUUUAGAGCUCACUUAGUAAGUGACGAUAUUGGAUCUGGUUUUGGUCAUUUUGGAAUUGCUGUUGAGGAUGGGCGCCAUAGCUAAAAUCUGACGUGAGAAGUGCAGCCACGACAAUGGGCAGCCGAAUAAAAAAUAUAGGGAGACACAAGGAGAAUAUAACUGGUCAUACUUCAACAAUGGCCACACUACUUAUGAUGGUUCAAGAGAAGAUAUCCGUGAUACUGAGCCUGGUGAUGAGGACAUCAAGACAAAGAUAUUAAUUCACAACUCUGCUGUUGAUAGGUUGUACAAAUUUACAAGGCACCAUGAUAUGUAACUUAUGUUUGUUGCUUCGGAGAGUACUGCCAUGCUGUCAUGGUCUUCAAGAUGUGGAAGGUGACUUUUGCUUGAUCUAGAGUGGAUGUUGAGUUGCCUUGUGGUGGCAGUAGACAAGGAAGUCGCCCAUCGAUUGAUCUUGAGAUGGCCAUGUCCCUGCAUUGCGGACGGUGAAGACAGUGUGUGUGACAAGAGAUGCACUAGCUGCGAGGAGAUAUGGAAGGGCCAGUUUGGAAUCUUCAUGGAACUACUGAAUUUGAACGCAUACUUUGGCCUCUUUCUGGUCCAGCGUUUUUGCAUCAACAUUUGAAUCAUUUUUUAUAAAUGUCUUGAGAAUAUGGUGAUUACGGUUGUCUGAUGUUCAAUUCUGUUUUUAGCAAAUUAUUCAGGAAGCCACCAUCCUUAGUUGAGGCUGAUGAGUGGAGGAAUUAUGUAGUACUGGUGGCACGCAGUUCACACUCCAACCCAUUUCGAGUUCAUCUCCCGUCAACCCUACUGCACACCGCCGACAAAUAACCCUGCGACGCUAAAUCCCUUUGUUCCAUGGUCUGAUGAAUUUAACAGAAAGCCUCAAAUAGACCGGCUUGAUCCGGAGCCUAGGAGAAUCAGCUAGGGUUAUGCAUCACCUGAAGUGGCACCCUGCAGCAAGCUUGCGUUCACUACAUACAGUUCACAUCGAUUGUUUAUAGGAGCUUUAUAGAAGUUCUUCCAUUGACCCCUAUGUUUGCCAACGGAGUUAGUUGAUGAUUCCUACAUGGAGAGGAUUCCGAUGUUGUAUAUUGUUUCUUACAAACCAAUAAAUGGAGAAGCCAGAUGGAACAAAACAUGAUAAAGGUCAUUUGCCUUUCUCUGGGUAAUAUCGAAGUGACUGCUCGGCUACUAACCAACGUCUCACCUUUUGUUUCAUUGUGUAUGCUGUCAACUGGCACUGAAGAAAAUAGUGAUUUGUUGCUAACUGACAUAGUGAAAAAAAAAGAAGAGAAAAAUUAGCAACGAGUCGUCCUUGCCUGCACACUCCCACAGUUGACAGGCAAGAAGGGCAGGAAUUAAAUCAGUAACCUCAUGUGUGAGUCUUUUGGUGGUGCCUUUUGGAGAUAAUAGUUAUGUAACAGAGAUAAUAGACAAAAAACAAAGAAGAAUUAUCGGGUACUCAACUAUGAUAUGGAAGGCAUUUCUGCUUUUGUCAAUGACAACCCACCAAAUACACCCAUCACGAAGAGUUGCUUAGAUGUUGAGGUCAUUUUUCAUACCAAUGGAACAUGUAGCGAUGACUCUACCUGAUGUAAAUGACUGCAUAACUUAGUUAACAUAAGCUGAAUGACCAGAGCUAUCUAUAUGAUGCAUUUCUGCCUAUGUAGCUUUGCUUAUCAUGAACUGAUCUCAUGCCUUUCUUUUGGCCUAUAAACCGACCAUGCAUUGUAGUAUAUAAUAUUAUGUAUGAACAGUGACUGUGUAUGAACAUCAUACCUAGAUAUUUAUCUUCUUAUGCUUCAAGUA